AUUGAACGCUGGCGGCAUGCCUUACACAUGCAAGUCGAACGGCAGCACGGGAGCAAUCCUGGUGGCGAGUGGCGAACGGGUGAGUAAUAUAUCGGAACGUGCCCAGUCUGGGGGAUAACGUAGCGAAAGCUACGCUAAUACCGCAUACUAUCUAUGGAUGAAANCGGGGGAUCGCAAGACCUCGCGCGAUUGGAGCGGCCGAUAUCAGAUUAGGUAGUUGGUGAGGUAAAGGCUCACCAAGCCGACGAUCUGUAGCUGGUCUGAGAGGACGACCAGCCACACUGGGACUGAGACACGGCCCCAGACUCCUACGGAGGCAGCAGUGGGGGAAUUUUUGGGACAAUGGGCGCAAGCCUGAUCCAGCAAUGCCGCGUGCCAGGAUGAAGGCCUUC
rnacentral:rRNA from 1 species